UGGGGAAUAUUGCGCAAUGGAGGAAACUCUGACGCAGCAACGCCGCGUGAAGGAUGAAGGCCUUCGGGUUGUAAACUUUUGUCUUCAGGGAAGAUUAUGACGGUACCUGAGGAGGAAGCCACGGCUAACUACGUGCCAGCAGCCGCGGUAAUACGUAGGUGGCGAGCGUUGUCCGGAAUUACUGGGUGUAAAGGGUGCGUAGGCGGGUGAUAAAGUCAGGUGUGAAAUGCCGCAGCUUAACUGCGGAGCUGCACUUGAAACUUAUCAUCUUGAGUGGAGUAGAGGCAAGCGGAAUUCCCAGUGUAGCGGUGAAAUGCGUAGAUAUUGGGAGGAACACCAGUGGCGAAGGCGGCUUGCUGGGCUCUAACUGACGCUGAGGCACGAAAGUGUGGGGAGCAAACAGG
rnacentral:rRNA from 1 species